rnacentral:rRNA from 1 species
UGGGGAAUUUUCCGCAAUGGGCGAAAGCCUGACGGAGCAAUGCCGCGUGGAGGUGGAAGGCCUAAGGGUCGUCAACUUCUUUUCCCGGAGAAGAAACAAUGACGGUAUCUGAGGAAUAAGCAUCGGCUAACUCUGUGCCAG